rnacentral:rRNA from 1 species
UACGUAGGAUGCAAGCGUUGUCCGGAAUUAUUGGGCGUAAAGCGAACGUAGGCGGUUUCUUAAGUUUGGUCUUAAAGACCGGGGCUCAACCCCGGGAAUGGACUGAAAACUGGGAGACUGGAGGAUGUCAGAGGAAAGUGGAAUUCCGAGUGUAGCGGUGAAAUGCGUAGAUAUUCGGAGGAACACCAGUGGCGAAAGCGACUUUCUGGGGCAUUCCUGACGCUGAGGUUCGAAAGCUCGGGGAGCAAACAGG